rnacentral:rRNA from 1 species
UAAUACAGAGGGUGCAAGCGUUGUUCGGAAUUACUGGGCGUAAAGCGUGCGUAGUCGGUAUUGAGAGUCGCGGGUGAAAUCCCAGGGCUUAACCCUGGAACUGCCUGCGAGACCUCAGUACUAGAGUGUGAGAGGGGAUAGUGGAAUACCCAGUGUAGCGGUGAAAUGCGUAGAGAUUGGGUGGAACACCGGUGGCGAAGGCGGCUAUCUGGCUCACAACUGACGAUCAGGCACGAAAGCGUGGGGAGCAAACAGGAUUAGAUACCCUGGUAGUCCACGCCGUAAACUAUCCAUACAAGCUGUAGUGGGGUUUUACUCCUGCUGUGGCGAAGCUAACGCAAUUAGUAUGGCGCCUGGGGAGUACGGUCGCAAGACUAAAACUCAAAUGAAUUGACGGA